GUGAGGAAUAUUGCGCAAUGGCCGCAAGGCUGACGCAGCGACGCCGCGUGAAGGAUGAAGUCCGUUAGGAUGUAAACUUCUUUUGCAGGGGAUGAAAUCCCCGGUCUACGGGGUGUGACCGUACCCUGCGAAUAAGGAUCGGCCAACUACGUGCCAGCAGCCGCGGUAAUACGUAGGAUCCGAGCGUUGUCCGGAAUUACUGGGUGUAAAGGGCGUGUAGGUGGAUCUCUAAGUCGGUGGUGAAAUCCUGCAGCUUAACUGUAGAACUGCUUCCGAUACUGGAGAUCUUGAGUGCGGCAGAGGGAGAUGGAAUUCAUGGUGUAGCGGUGAAAUGUGUAGAUAUCAUGAAGAACACCGGUAGCGAAGGCGGUCUCCUGGUCCGCAACUGACACUGAGGCGCGAAAGCGUGGGGAGCAAACAGGAUUAGAAACCCCAGUAGUCC
rnacentral:rRNA from 1 species